rnacentral:tRNA from 1 species
GAUGGCUUGCCAGAGCCUGGCCUAUUGGGCGGGUCUGCAAAACCCGAUUCCGUGCGUUCAAAUCGCACAGCCAUCUCCA